CCCUUAGAUGUUCUGGGCAGCACGCGCGCUACAAUGGUCUUCGCAAACGGAUGCAUUCUCGAAGGAGAAUGCCAAUCUUGGAAUCUAUGCCUUGGUCGGGACAGUUGCUUGCAAUUUUUCGACUCGAACCAGGAAUUCAUUGUAAUCGUGAUUCAUCACAUCACGAUGAAUACGUCCCUGCCCUUUGUACACACCGCCCGUCGCUCCUACCGAUCGAAGAGUUAGGUGAAUUGUUUUGAUCGAUAAGAUUUGACUAUGGUCAACUCUCGUUGUGAAAUUCUGUGAAUCUGACUGUUUAGAGGAAGGAAAAGUCGUAACA
rnacentral:rRNA from 1 species